CUAUCUUCUCAGAGUUUGCUCAAAUUCAUGACCAUUGAAUUUUGGCUCCUCCUGCUGAAGGCCUGGUGGGAUGCUUCGUGGGGAAGAGGAGGCUGCAUGUAUUCAGU
rnacentral:lncRNA from 1 species